rnacentral:rRNA from 1 species
UAAGCGGAGGAAAGAAACUAACAAGGAUUCCCCUAGUAACUGCGAGUGAAGCGGGAAAAGCUCAAAUUUAAAAUCUGGUGGUCUUUGGCCAUNCGAGUUGUAAUCUAGAGAAGCGUCUUCCGCGCUGGACCGUGCACAAGUCUCCUGGAACGGAGCGUCGUAGAGGGUGAGAAUCCCGUCUUUGGCAUGGACACACCAGGGCUUUUGUGAUGCGCUCUCGAAGAGUCGAGUUGUUUGGGAAUGCAGCUCAAAAUGGGUGGUGAACUCCAUCUAAAGCUAAAUAUUGGCGAGAGACCGAUAGCGAGCAAGUACCGUGAGGGAAAGAUGAAAAGCACUUUGGAAAGAGAGUGAAACAGUACGUGAAAUUGUUGAAAGGGAAACGCUUGAAGUCAGUCGCGUCGACCGAGACUCAGCCUCGCCUCAGCUUGGCGUACUUCUCGGCCCGACGGGUCAGCAUCAAUUUCGCCUCUUGGAUAAUGGCGAGGGAAACGUGACACCUUUACGGUGUGUUAUAGUCUCUCGUCGCAUGCAAGGGUCGGGAUUGAGGAACUCAGCACGCGCCUUUGGGCGUCGGGGCUUUGCCUACGAUACGUGCUUAGGAUGUUGGCGUAAUGGCUUUAAACGACC